GCCCAGGUGGCUUAGGGGUAAAGAAUCUGCCUGCAAUGCAGGAGACGCAGGUUCAAUCCCUGGGUU
rnacentral:tRNA from 1 species